GUGUCAGGGAAGAGUUAGAAGUUUCCAGUUUCUCAGAGGGAGAAAGCAUUCACCAAGGGGGGAAGGAGAGCAGUGAAUCUAACAGAAGAGAGCAAGAGGAACAACAGGGAGGGACUGGCUGUUCACAGGAAAGGCAAGGGUUAAGUUCUAGCUCAGAUUCGGAGGAGGGGAGAUACAAGCCAGCUCUAGCCAGGAGGUUAGAAAAAAGAGCGGGAAAGCGAAGGGAAGGGCGCCUUCGCCAUUUUGAGAGUGGCUGGUCAUGGAGAAGCAGAGCUCAGAAGGUAUCUGAAAUAAGUGACUCUGAGGAAUAGUAGUUAAGAACCGUUUAUAAGAAUGUUUUGUUAAUACGCAAUAAAAAGUUUUAUAAAAGAACAAGAAGUGUUUGUGUGGUGAUCUGAAGAGGACAACGACCAGUCCUGACAGAAUACCUUCUGCUCUGUGCCUCUUCACUAUAAGUAAAGAAGGAGAAACCAAAAUGGAUGGAGCUGUGGCACCAGUUGGGCAAGGAGAAACCCCAGCACUCCAGCUAACAUUACAGGACUUAUGGCAACAGAACUUACAGUUGAAAAGUCAAGUCAAUAUACUAUCGGCAGCACUGGGAGAACAUAGAACCAUGCUGCAAGCGACGUGUGGAGAUAGAGUGAGUAAAACAUUUACUGUAUGUCCACGUAGCUUCAAGGGAGAAAGCUCUGAAUACAUGGCUUUCAAGACAGAAAUUUCCUACAUAAUUGAGAUAAAGGAUAAAGAAUUUCAAUCUGAGCAAGAGAAGGUUGCUUAUGUGAUUAAUUUCUUGGAAGGGAGGGCUAAGGACUGUGUUAUACCCCUAAUAUCUCGCAGGGAUGCUGCCCUAGGAAAUUUUUCUGCAGUAUCUAGACACGAUUUUCUUAGAACCUGCGCAUGAAAUAACCACAGCUAGGCAGCUGUUGAGAAUGAGACAAGGAAAAGACACUGUGGGAGUUUAUUGGUCCAACUUUAGUUUGCUGGUGCAGAAAUUAAAAUGGGAUCUGAAUUCCCCAACAGUUGCAGCCCUUUUUAGGGAAGGACUGAAUAAUGAGAUUUUAGACCAAUUGGCCCAAAUGCCAGAACCUAGUUCCUUGGACUCUCUGGUCCGAACGUGCCUGCAAUUGAGCCUACGCGUGGAACGGAGGGCUAGUGAAAAGAAGGAACAAUGGCGACCACGGUGGUGGGAAAAGAAUAUUAUCGAAAGUACAGAGAGCAGAGCGGGCAACGUGCCAGGACGAGAGCGGCCAGAGCCCAUGGAAUUAGGAGCAGCCAGACCCCUCCCAGUUACUACCUCUUCCAUGGUAAGAGGAAAUGCAGGGAAAGGAAGAGACACAAGGCGUUGCUUUGUCUGUGGAAAACCAGGGCAUCUAGCACGCCAAUGUCACAAUCGUAAAGGAUGGGAGUCUCUAUCUGGAGCAGACAUGAGAGAAGACAAUUGCCCGAAGGAACUGCAUCAGGGAAACGAAUGUCCCCGGCUGGAAAUGGGAGCUUGCAGCCGGGUGGAGAAGCAAUAGAAGGCUCUCACGCGGAACCACCUAUUCCAGGAAUAACGGUGAAGGUGCAACUACAACUACCCAAUGGACACAGCGUCCAGGUAGAGGCGUUGUUAGACUCAGGAGCGUCAGCAGAUUUCAUAGACCAGAAAUUGGUACAGGAACACAAAAUCGCUUUGUUACCUUUGAGUUUCCCACUGCGAGUGAAAACAAUCGACGGCAGACCGCUACUUUCAGGAGAAGUGACUUAUGAGACUCCACCAAUGAGAAUGGAUAUGGGUCAUCACUCAGAGACCAGGGCAUUUCAUGUGACCAAACUAGCUGGGCACCCGAUGGUGCUGGGCAUGAGUUGGCUCAAUUGUCAUAAUCCAGUGAUUGCCUGGCAUCAAAGGUCUUUGGUUUUUGGUUCGAUAUAUUGUAUGACACAUUGUUUGGGGCAAAAGGGAAAAAUCUCGGUGGAAGUAAUGGGAACAGAGGUAGAAGGGAAGUUGAUGGGGAAUGAAAGUGAGAUUCCAUCACAAUAUAUGGCUUAUCAGGAUGUUUUUGUGAAAAAGAAGCGGAUAAACUUCCACCACAUAGGCCCUAUGAUUGCAAGAUAGAUCUAGUCCCUGGGGCACAGUUGCCACCAAGCAAGAUAUAUGCCAUGUCGGAAGUAGAAUCUGCAGCAUUGAGGGAGUUCCUGCAAAAGAAUUUGCAGAGAGGUUUUAUUAGAGAGUCCACGGCCUCUGGGGUGCUCCCGUCUUUUUGUCAAAAGAAAGGGGAGGAAGGGGCACCAAGAUUAGUAUGUGACUUCAGAAUCCUUAACAGUCAAAUGAAGCCUCGCGUGUGCCCACUGCCACGUAUAGAUGACCUCUUAGAGAGUAAGGUCAGCCAAAGUCUUUACCAAGCUUGAUCUAUGAGGAGCAUAUAAUCUGAUAAGGGUCAGAGAAGGGGAUGAGUGGAAAACCAGUUUUUGUACUAAGUAUGGUGCAUUUGAAUUCUUGGUAAUGCCUUUUGGCUUGCAAAAUGGCUCAGGGGUAUUUCAAACCUUCAUCAAUCACGUCUUAGCAGGUAUACUGGAUCAGUUCUGUGUCUCUUAUUUAGAUGACCUCUUAAUAUAUAGUGAAAGUAUGGAGGAACACGUAAAACAUGUCACACAGGUGUUAGAGAGAUUGAGGACCAACAGGUUAUAUGUGAAGUUAGAGAAGUGUAAGUUCCACACACAAAAGGUGGAGUUCCUGGGAUAUUGCAUUUCCCACAAAGGGGUGCACAUGGACCCCAGUAAAGUUCAGGCAGUGGUGGAAUGGGAGGCACCUAAAACUAAGAAAGAUCUACAGAGGUUUUUAGGAUUUGCUAAUUUCUAUCGUAAAUUCAUAGGUAAUUACUCCAAAAUCACAACGCCACUGACUGAUUGUCUAAGAGGCAAGGGGCCAUUCAGAUGGUCUGAGGAAGCACAGAAGGCCUUUGAUAAAUUAAAGGUGGUGUUUGCUUCAGAAAAAUAUCUUAUGCACCUAGAUCCAAGUAAGCGUAUAAAGGUAGAAACUGAUGCCUCUGAUAGGGCUAUUGGGGCCAUUCUGCUGCAACAGGACAAGGAAGGGGACUGGAGACCCUGUGCAUUCUACUCUAGAAAAUUAAAUCAAUCAGAACAAAACUACACCAUAUUUGAUAAGGAACUUUUAGCUGUGCAUGCUGCCUUUAAAGUGUGGAGACAUUUUUUGGAAGGGGCGUCACAUCAGGUGGUGGUACAAACAGAUCAUAAGAAUUUAGAGUAUUGGAGAACUGCUAGACAGCUAAACCAAAGGCAAAUUAGGUGGGCAGAGUUUUUUGCUGGGUUUAAUUUUAGGAUUGAGUACAUACCUGGGCAUCAAAACGUUCGUGCAGACGCGCUAUCGCGCAAACCUGAGUAUAUGGAAGGGGAAGCACCUCCCAAGUUGCGAGAAAUGCUGAGAUCGGAUCAGUGGGGGUGUGCAGCCGUAGUAGUGGACGGCAGGGAAUUCCAGCGAUUGACAGUAACAGAUGAGUUUGCACAAAAGAAAAUGGAGGAACUGAGAAAAGGUAGAGGGGAAGAGGAAGGUUUCAAAGAAAAAGAUGGAUUGUUGUACAGGAGAGGGGUGCUGUAUGUACCUGCAGGUGAAUUAAGAGGUAAAGUGUUGAGGCAACAUCAUGAUAACCCGACUGCAGGACAUUUUGGUAGAGAAAAGACCCUGUAUCAGAUCACACGGCAGUUCUGGUGGCCAAAGUUGAGGGAGGAAGUAACACAAUAUGUAAGAGGUUGUGAAGUAUGUCAACGAGCCAAGGCACCCAGAGCAGCUCCCACAGGGUUGUUGCAACCUAUGCCCACGCCGGGAAGGCCUUGGGAUGUGGUGUCUAUGGAUUUUAUAACGGAUCUACCACUUUGUGGUGGUUGACAUGCUAACCAAGAUGGCACAUUUCAUACCAUGUACCAAAAUUCCGACCGCACAGGAAACUGCAAAGAUGUUUUUAGAUAAUAUUUUUAGGUUGCAUGGUAUGCCAUCACAAAUCAUUUCAGAUAGAGGGGCCCAAUUUACAUCACAAUUUUGGAGGAGGUUAAUGCAGUUACUAGAUGUGGAGCUAAGCCUCACGUCGGCGAGACACCCGCAAACCAAUGGGGAAGCUGAAAGAACGAAUGCAACACUACAACAAUAUCUGAGGUGUUAUGCUGGUUAUCAGCAGAGCGGGUGGUUAGAGAAGUUGAGUCUAGCAGAGUUUGCGUAUAAUAAUGCAAUGCAUGUGUCUACGGGCAGAGCCCCAUUUGUGGCAAACUAUGGCUUGCACCCAAGGGCAUUCCCAGGUCAAGAGGAGCAGUUAGCAGUACCAGCAGCAGAACAAAUGAUAGAGGAGUUGAGGUGCAUUCAUGAGAUAUUGAAAGAGGAUUUGGAAGAAGCUAAAGAGGCUUACAAGAGAGCUGCAGACAGGCACCAGCGAGUUGGGGAAGAAAUCCAAGUAGGGAGCUGGGUAUGGCUGUCUACCAAGGGACUACCAAUACGAGGGAGGUGUAAAAAGCUAGAACCAAGGAGAUUGGGACCUUUCCAAGUAAAGGCUCAAAUUAACCCAGUCGCUUUCAAGCUUCAUUUGCCUGAAAAUAUGAGAAUACACCCUGUAUUUCAUAGAUCUUUAUUGUCAGUGUUUGUACCAGCGCAUAAGUAUCAAAGUUCAAGGGAACCACCUCCUUUUCCCACCAUGAUGGGGGAAGAGGAGACCGAAGUGGAAGAGAUAUUAGACUCGAGAAUAAGUAGGAGGAAAUUACAGUAUUUGGUUGCAUGGAAAGGGUUAGAUGAGUCUGAGAACUCAUGGGAACCAGCAGAAAAAAUUAACGUUCCAGAAUUGCAGAGAGAAUUUCAUAGAAAAUAUCCCCACAAGCCAAAACCCCAUAACUGGCAUCUUCAAGAAAUUUUUGAAGAGACAGAUAGCGAGGAAGAGGAGUUCAUAGGGUUUGGUCCUUCAGAAGCAGAGGAGAGCGAGGAGGAGGGAGGGGGUGAUGUCAGGGAAGAGUUAGAAGUUUCCAGUUUCUCAGAGGGAGAAAGCAUUCGCCAAGGGGGGAAGGAGAGCAGUGAAUCUAACAGAAGAGAGCAAGAGGAACAACAGGGAGGGACCGGCUGUUCACAGGAAAGGCAAGGGUUAAGUUCUAGCUCAGAUUCGGAGGAGGGGAGAUACAGGCCAGCUCUAGCCAGGAGGUUAGGAAAAGAGCGGAAAGCAAGGGAAGGGCGCCUUCGCCAUUUUGAGAGUGGCUGGUCAUGGAGAAGCAGAGCUCAGAAGGUAUCUGAAAUAAGUGACUCUGAGGAAUAAUAGUUAAGAACCGUUUAUAAGAAUGUUUUGUUAAUACACAAUAAAAAGUUUUAUAAAAGAACAAGAAGCGUUUGUGUGGUGAUCUGAAGAGGACAACGACCAGUCCUGACAUUACGCUAGGAAAAAUAAUCA